GAGCACCGCUUCGCCACGUGAUCGGCAGCGCGCCCGGAGUGAUCCGGCUGCGGGCCAGGGUCUGGGAAGGGGGUGGUGGGUCGCCGUUUCAUCAGAAGCCGGAGGACGGGCGCCAGGGGGCAACUUCCUACAGGAGGGCGUCCCGUUAGAAUGACAGGGCUUUUGCAAAAGUCUGACACCCGUGGCACAGAGCGCCCCAGAUAUGGAGGGUUUCACAGGCUCAUGUGUGGCUUCUUCAGUCCUCUCUUCAUUCACUCAUGUAUUCAUUUAUUCAACGACAUAUUACUAAGGAACCUCCUUAAGCCGGGAUGCUGAACGUGGAAAAAUAGUUGACUCUUGAACAAUGUGGGGGCUUGGGGCACCAACCCCCUGUGCAGUUGAAAAUCGACAUAUAACUUUGACUCGCCAAAAACUUCACUACAAUAGCCUGCUGCCAACCUGAAGUCUUACCAAUAACAUCAACAGUCAAUUAAACAUAUUACUAGGCUGAAAAGGAGAAGGAAGUGAAGGGGUUGGUCUUGCCGUCUCACGAGUGGCAGAGGCAGGAGAAAAUCCAAAUGUCUGGGAUGUUUCUCUUGCAUGCCUCUGGAAUCAAAUGACUCUGAUACUGCAAGCACUUCAGAGUAUGUAUAAGCAAUUUCAGCUGGUUCCGUCCUGAUAUUUACAAAACUGCCUGGAUCAUACUUACAACCAUGCAAUGAUAUAUAUUUCUAUUAAGAAAGCAACGAUUUGCUUGAAAGAUGAAGGAAAACAAACUAAGUAUUUAUGUACAAUGAGUCCUAAGUGUACACCACUAUGUUUUCCAUCAGCUUUUGAUUUUCUGUCACUCCUCUUUUUCUUUGAAAUUUAGAGUCAGAAGUGAACUGACUUCAUGGUUUUCCUCAUGAUUAUUUGAUAUCCUCUAGGGAAUCAUGACUUAAAGACUGCAUUCUUCCUUCUCAAAACUCAUGUUAAAGAUUUCUCCAUGCAGAGCCACAGGCUAUUUUGGAGUUUGAAAUGGAGCAGUUAAAACUAGGAGGUCACACACGUUGAGAUUAUUCCUUCACUGCAUCUCGCCCGGCUUGUGUGCCUGAGGAGACACGCAUCUCAGAGGGCAGAGGGGCAGCCGUUGUCUAGUGAGGUUAUUUCACCUACUAUAUAAUAAAAUGUACAGGACAAUA
rnacentral:lncRNA from 1 species